UCAAAUCAUUAUGUGGAGAAUCCUGCCCAUUUUUGUUGUUGUACUCUUCCCCAGCUGGGAAAAGUAAAUCUGAUAUUGUUGGAACAUUCAACGAGGAUGCCUCCAAAACAACCCCCUAACAUGUUAGUGAGAAUACAAACACAAGUGCAUUUUCGGUGUCUUGUAAAAUCGUAAAGGGUUAUGGACCACAAAAAUUCUCAGAAAACGUACAUUGUGAGGUCGGCAUGCUGUGAUUUGAUUUAAAUGUUCUUUAUUCACACUUUUUAUUGGUAUUUUGUACUGUAGUUUGUUCAAAAAUUCUUCAAAUUCACUAUGAAUGUCAGCAUUUUGAACAUAAAGUGCUCGACAUUCUCUUUUGCGCGUUGCAAGGGCAUUUUUUACUGAAUGCGUUCCAAAUACGAAUUCCGAAUCCUCUUUAAUUAACCGCCGCUCCUUGGACAAAUGCGCUUUGGCUUUUUUGGGCACCUCGCGUGCUAAAUUAACACGACUUCGUAUCAUUUUCGUGGUUACAAAUAAGUAAAAACUUACUAGUGUCGUUUCGUAAUUAGCAUACACUGGAUAUUGUGAUGUUCAAACCAAAUAAGGAUUUUGUACAAAAGUUUUAGUCUAAAAACACAAAAUAUUAGCAACUUUUACAUAGUAAGCGGAAAAAGAAUUAAGUAUAAACUAAAAAAUGAGAAUUAAAUUGGUUUA